ACCAGGAUGGCUGAGUAGUUAAGGUCUUGGAUUUAAGAUCCAAUAGACAUAUAUCUGCUUGGGUUCAAGCCCCUUUCCUGGUA
rnacentral:tRNA from 1 species